GAUUCCUUGAAUGCAGAGAGGAGGAGUAGAAAGAAGACUGGUGAACUCUGCCCACUGCAAAUGAAUCCCAUGCAUCCUCAGUGUGGCAUAGACGUUCGAGUGUCAGACUGCUAGACCCAGCUGAUCUUCAUGUAGUGAUUUGAGUGUAAGAUGAGGAUCUGGAAGGAACCAAAGAAGGAAAUGAAGAUACCAGGCCUCCAGGACAUAAUGGGGCGGCAGAGAUCACAGCCUUGGAAGACCAGCCUGUCCGUUUGCAAACCGGGAGUGCGAUGCCCUUCCAACCUCCUUUCAAAGUCAACUGGAAGCGUGUACUAAGGAAUCCACGUGCUCAGUAUGGUAAUCCACACCACGUUUAGGACGACGGGCCGGGGUUCAGAUGCUGGGCGAAAGGGGCUGCUCCCGACCCCAGAAGUCCUGGAGUCCCAUCUGUUGCAGUUUUGUGGGACCACAAUGAGCAAGUUGCUCAAAAUGACGGACAACUCUCCACUGGGACCAGGGGCCGGCCUGCGAUUAACUCUCAACAAGUGCAAUCCUGCAGAUAGCAGCUUGUGAACUCCGGGUAGCCUUUGUUAUUGCAGCGAGAUAAUGCGAGUCUGAAAGAAUACACCUCCCUCCUCCCCACUGCCCCCCCCCAGUUCAAAAGGAGGAGAAGCCCCCUCCCCUCCU